rnacentral:rRNA from 1 species
ACGUAGGACGCAAGCGUUAUCCGGAGUUACUGGGCGUAAAGCGCGGGCAGGCGGCUUGUCAAGUGGGGUGUGAAAGCUCCCAGCUUAACUGGGAGAGGCCAUUCCAAACUGACAGGCUGGAGGGCAGUAGAGGUAGGCGGAAUUCCGGGUGGAGUGGUGAAAUGCGUAGAGAUCCGGAAGAACACCGGUGGCGAAGGCGGCCCGCUGGGCUGUGGCUGACGCUGAGGCGCGACAGCGUGGGGAGCAAACAGGA